UUCGCUUUUACGACGAAAUUAUUUCCUCGCUAACUUACGACGAAUUAGCGAGGAUAUAUGCGUUACGACAAACGUAUAACGACGAAACGGGUUUCCUCGCUAAUUCGUCGUAACACUGCUUUUACGACGAAUUAGCGAGGAAAACUGCCCUCGUAAAACUUGUGUUUUCUUGUAGUGCAAGCUUAAUGCAAGCAUCACUACAAAUGAACAAAUCCUAGCUGAUGUUGAGAUGCUUGAUAAGCUUCAGAAAGAGUUUGAAGCUCAAAACAUUGGCGAUUGAUGUCUGGAUGUUUGAGUUUGAAGGCUGAAGCUUGAAAGUUCAAGGCUGAAGAUUGAAGUAUGAAAGAGUUGGUUUUUAUUUUAUUGAAUAAUGUUGCUUUUAGACUUGGUUUUCACUUGGGUAUUGGUUAUUCUCGUUUGGUUUUUCAUUUCAAUAACUAUGAUCUUUGCAUCACUUCUUUUUAAUAAAGUUUGAAAGUUGCUUUUAUCUGCGUCUGAGUACAAGUCGAUGUGUCUAUUCUUAUGUUUGUCUAUUUUUAUGUUAGCUUUACAACAUGUUUUUAGUUUAA